GGUAGGGGAGCAUUCUAUUAUAGGGAGAAGCAUGACCGGAAGGACAUGUGGACGAGAUAGAAGAGAGAAUGCCGGAAUGAGUAGCGAGAAUUAUGUGAGAAUCAUAAUGGUCGAAAACCUAAGGUUUCUUGAGGAAGGUUCGUCCGCUCAAGGUAAGCCGGGAGCUGAGGCGAGGCCGAAAGGCGUAGUCGAUGCACAUACGGUAGAAAUUCCGUAGCCACCGAAAUUGUUAAGCACAGGGACGCAGGAACAUAAUCCAACCGCACCGAUGGUCGAGUGCGGCGAAAGGGAGCGAAAAUUAAGUAGCGAAGUGGAUGAUUGUACACUGACGAGAAAAGCUGUGUGGACUGAUGAGGUGCCCGUACCGUAAACCGACACAGGUGGGUGAGGAGAGAAUCCUAAGACCAGCGGGAGAAGUGUUGUUAAGGAACUCGGCAAAUUGACCCUGUAACUUCGGGAAAAGGGGUGCCUGCUAGCGCAGGCCGCAGAGAAUAGGCCCAAGCGACUGUUUAGCAAAAACACAGGUCUCUGCUAAAUCGAAAGAUGAAGUAUAGGGGCUGACGCCUGCCCGGUGCCGGAAGGUUAAGAGGAGGACUUAGCGCAAGCGAAGGUCUGAAUUGAAGCCCCGGUAAACGGCGGCCGUAACAAUAACGGUCCUAAGGUAGCGAAAUUCCUUGUCAGGUAAGUUCUGACCCGCACGAAUGGCGUAACGAUUUGGGCACUGUCUCAACAACACACCCGGUGAAAUUGUAGUACCGGUGAAGAUGCCGGUUACCCGCGACUAGACGGAAAGACCCCAUGGAGCUUUACUGUAACUUGAUAUUGGAUUUUGGUAUUGCAUGUACAGGAUAGGUGGGAGACUGAGAAGCACAGACGCCAGUUUGUGUGGAGUCAAUGUUGGGAUACCACUCUUGUGAUACUGGAAUUCUAACCUGCGGCCGUGAAACCGGUCGGGGGACAAUGUCUGGUGGACAGUUUGACUGGGGCGGUCGCCUCCUAAAGAGUAACGGAGGCGUUCAAAGGUUAGCUCAGUACGGUCAGAAAUCGUACGAAGAGUGCAAACGCAAAAGCAAGCCUAACUGCGAGACGAACAGGUCGAGCAGUAACGAAAGUUGGAGUUAGUGAUCCGGCGGUAAGAGAGUGGAAUUGCCGUCGCUCAACGGAUAAAAGCUACCCUGGGGAUAACAGGCUGAUCUCCCCCAAGAGUCCAUAUCGACGGGGAGGUUUGGCACCUUGAUGUCGGCUCAUCGCAUCCUGGAGCUGGAGUCGGUUCCAAGGGUUGGGCUGUUCGCCCAUUAAAGCGGUACGCGAGCUGGGUUCAGAACGUCGCGAGACAGUUCGGUCCCUAUCUGUCGCGGGCGCAGGAAAUUUGAAGGGAGCUGUCCUUAGUACGAGAGGACCGGGAUGGACGUACCACUGGUGUACCAGUUGUCUUGCCAAAGGCACGGCUGGGUAGCUAAGUACGGAAGGAAUAAACGCUGAAGGCAUCUAAGCGUGAAGUCCCCCCUAAGAUAAGAUUUCCCAUUCUUUAAAAGAAGUAAGACCCCACGUAGACUAUGUGGUUGAUAGGUCGGAGGUGUAAGUGUGGUAACACAUUAAGCUGACCGAUACUAAUAGGUCGAGGGCUUGAUC
rnacentral:rRNA from 1 species